AGCGAACGCUGGCGGCAGGCUUAACACAUGCAAGUCGAGCGGGCGUAGCAAUACGUCAGCGGCAGACGGGUGAGUAACGCGUGGGAACGUACCUUUUAGUUCGGAACAACACAGGGAAACUUGUGCUAAUACCGGAUAAGCCCUUACGGGGAAAGAUUUAUCGCCGAAAGAUCGGCCUGCGUCUGAUUAGCUAGUUGGUAGGGUAAUGGCCUACCAAGGCGACGAUCAGUAGCUGGUCUGAGAGGAUGAUCAGCCACAUUGGGACUGAGACACGGCCCAAACUCCUACGGGAGGCAGCAGUGGGGAAUAUUGGACAAUGGGGGCAACCCUGAUCCAGCCAUGCCGCGUGAGUGAUGAAGGCCCUAGGGUUGUAAAGCUCUUUUGUGCGGGAAGAUAAUGACGGUACCGCAAGAAUAAGCCCCGGCUAACUUCGUGCCAGCCGCCGCCGUAACAC
rnacentral:rRNA from 1 species